rnacentral:rRNA from 1 species
UACGUAGGGUGCAAGCGUUUAAUCGGAAUUACUGGGCGUAAAGCGUGCGCAGGCGGUUUUGUAAGUCUGUCGUGAAAUCCCCGGGCUCAACCUGGGAAUUGCGAUGGAGACUGCAAGGCUAGAAUCUGGCAGAGGGGGGUAGAAUUCCACGUGUAGCAGUGAAAUGCGUAGAGAUGUGGAGGAACACCGAUGGCGAAGGCAGCCCCCUGGGUCAAGAUUGACGCUCAUGCACGAAAGCGUGGGGAGCAAACGAGGAUUAGACGUACC